AUGGCAUGUUACAUGAUGGUAAAGUCAGCCAGCAGCAAGCAAGAAGGAGGAGAAGCAAUUGCUGGUGGAUUUUGGGAGUGUUUGGUUAUAGAAGAUGGGCAUUAUUGCCAUGGAAGAUGGACAUUCAUGGAAAUAUUACUUUUUGAUUUUGAACAUCAAUGUUGCAGGAGUGGACUUGAUCAGCCCCAGCAACAACAUAACAUUCUUCAUGAUUCAAGAUAUUAUGAUUCAUGA